UAUCGAAACACUCUUCGGAGUGUCCGUUAAGGAUGGUCUCUUAACGCUGAAGAGAUAGACCAAA
rnacentral:hammerhead_ribozyme from 1 species